UACGAAGGGGGCUAGCGUUGUUCGGAAUUACUGGGCGUAAAGGGCGCGUAGGCGGCUGUGCAAGUCAGGUGUGAAAGCCCUGGGCUCAACCCAGGAUGUGCACUUGAUACUGCGCGGCUAGAGUGUCGGAGAGGAUGGUGGAAUUCCCAGUGUAGAGGUGAAAUUCGUAGAUAUCGGGAGGAACACCUGUGGCGAAAGCGGCUCACUGGACCGCAACUGACGCUGAGGCGCGAAAGCUAGGGGAGCAAACAGG
rnacentral:rRNA from 1 species